CAGCAGCCAUGAACUGCAGCCCAGCCAUGCCUGCCUGUCUUGGAGACAACUGAGUGUUGACUGAAACCUCCAAAAACUAUGUUUCUUCAAAAAGUCAUUUCAUCUAUAUAUUCCAUUAAUCACCAAAGGUUUCUUUUUCUUUUCAGAGAUAAUCUGCCUGGAUGAUGUGAUUGUUUGCAUUUCAGGAAACUCACAGGUUGAAGAGCAAAUUCAGGACCUCCUGCCUGACCUACACCCCAGCAUCUCUUUGGACACAUUCUAACCUUGUAUAUCAUCAUCGCAAGUGAACCAUCCUCUCUACUCAUUACUACUUUGGAGUUUCAGACCUCAAAUUUUCACAUCUUAAUUCAAUAUUAAACACAUACAUUUACAUGAUUGAAUAUUUUGGAUAUAAAACGUCUUUUACCAGUAUUUGAAUGUAUCCAAUAUGUUCGCAGCCUUAUUUGACAGGUGCAAAACUCAAAGUAGAGGAAGUAGUAUGCACGUGUCCCCAAAACAAACAUAACAUUUUACUUGGAAUUAAAUAUGUGUCAGCCAUUGUCCUAAUUGUCUUACAUAUGGAAUCUCACUGCAAUUAAACUAAACUCAUAUACAAUAGACUUCACAUACCAAUUUGCUCAGAUUAAUGAAAGAAUGAAGAUCAGGUGAAAAAUAGAAUCUCAACUUUAGUACCUAGUCAUUCCUAAUUUAUUAUCUACGUAAUAACAAGCAGAAAGAAAGUGUCCAUGGGUUUGAAAAUUUGCAUUUUAUUUAAAAUCGUAAUUACUUAGCUUUUUCCCCAACAUUUGAACAGUUAUUAUUUUCCCAGGAGGCUCCAAUGGUAGAAUUUAACAAUGAAUUACUGUUGAUUGAGCCUAAACUUGAGCUCAUGAUCACAUUAACUGGACUACAUUUAUCUUGUUUCAGGUAUUGGAAUUACCGUAUAAUUCCAUUCUGUAAAUGUGUACACAACAUCAUAUCAUGCAGAUGUUAAAGAAAGAUUAAUGGUUAGCCCACCAACUAUGUUGUCAUUUUGUCAGUUUCUCAAGGAAAAACUGCUAUUUCCAGUUACAGUCUAAGGAAGAUAGUGAAUGUAAAUCGCAGUGCUUCCAAUGAAAAAGCAAGAGAAUGUUACCAUCAUCCCAAUGUGCAAAUGGAAAUAAACCUCAUUGGCCAAGUUUUCUCAUUAACCUCCUAUCAACUUGACCAAUCUGUUUCCUUUGCACUUCCAUAUUGAGAGAGAAAGGCAAUACAUUUAUUUUGAAUCUUACUAUUUUAAAUAUACCACACAACUUUAUGAUGGCCUAUCAAUUACCAUCAAUGCCUUGAACUGUCCUCAUCAUAUACAGCACAAAGAGGCUGUUAAUGAUCCGGAUCACUGGAGUCAUAAUAAUCAACAAAACAUCCAUAAUCUGACUGCUUUCCUCAUAACUCAAGAAAGGUCACUUCAAAGCACAUUUUUCAUAAUCAUUUUCUCUCUUUAAGCCACUGGAGUAGGGCUGGGGAUUUGACUAUCUGGCAAGCAUGAGGUUGUGAAUUUGAUCCCUGAUACAGAAACAAAAACAAAAACAACAAUAACAAAAAACCCACUGGUGUAUAUUUAUUUAACAUAAUAGUGAUGCUUGCUUUGGAAAAUUGGUACACACCUGUAAUAAAUAUUGUCAUUUUCAAUUUGUUAUCCACCAAGUUUAUUGAGCACCUUCCCUAAAUACAAAAGUUUAUCUUGUAUUUUCCAGUCAUUAUACUUUUAUUUUGCACGUUAUUUUAUUUACAUUCUAGAUUUUCCAUCCAAGAGAAAGCAUGCAAAUAAAAUUUUCUGGUUAUGAUAAAUUAUAGAAAUGCACUGUAGCCUAAGGUAAAGUCUCAUUUACUUUGGAACUACUAGGUAAAAGUUGCUCAACAUAUUUUAUCAAGAAUCUUGUGCCUAUGUCUUUCUAAAAAGAUGUCUAUGAGAACCAUUUGUUAAUCUUUUUCA